GACGAACGCUGGCGGCGUGCCUAAUACAUGCAAGUCGAGCGGACCAUGAGAAAGUUUACUUUCUUCUUGGUUAGCGGCGGACGGGUGAGUAACACGUGGGCAACCUGCCCUGUAGACUGGGAUAACCUCGGGAAACCGAAGCUAAUACCGGAUAAUCAAUCGAAGCACCUACUUCUAUUGUAAAAGUUGGGUUUUACCUAACACUACAGGAUGGGCCCGCGGCGCAUUAGCUAGUUGGUAAGGUAAUGGCUUACCAAGGCGACGAUGCGUAGCCGACCUGAGAGGGUGAUCGGCCACACUGGGACUGAGACACGGCCCAGACUCCUACGGGAGGCAGCAGUAGGGAAUCUUCCGCAUGGACGAAAGUCUGACGGAGCAACGCCGCGUGAACGAUGAAGGCCUUCGGGUCGUAAAGUUCUGUUGUUAGGGAAGAACAAGUACCGUUCAAAUAGGGCGGUACCUUGACGGUACCUAACCAGAAAGCCACGGCUAACUACGUG
rnacentral:rRNA from 1 species